GAACUCUUUUCCAACCUUAUGGAGUUCGUUAGACCAAAAAAACAAGAAAAAUGAAAAAAAAAUAUUUGGGGUGUUCGGACUUCCUGAAGGUAAUACCCGGGUAUUAGGUUAUGGGGCUAUGGUAAGGUUUAAGGUUUUUGACGUUAGGGUGAAAAUAACUGUCCAAAACCUUUGUAGGAACUCUUUUCCAACCUUAUGGAGUUCGUUAGACCAAAAAAAAAAGAAAAAUGAAAAAAAAAAUUUGGGGUGUUCGGGCUUCCUGAAGGUAAUACCCAGGCAUUAGGUUAUGGGGCUUAGGAAAUGUUUAAGGUUUUUGGCGUUAGGGUUAAAAUCACUGUCCAAAAACCUUUGUAGGAACUCUUUUCCAACCUUUUGGAGUUAGGUAGACCAAAAAAAAAAGUAAAAUUAAAAAAAAAAUAUUUGGGGUGUUCAGGCUUCCUGAAGGUAAUACCCGGGAAUCAGGUAAUGGGGCUAUGGUAAGGUUUAAGGUUUUUGGCGUUGGGGUUAAAAUCACUGUCCAAAACCUUUGUAGGAACUCUUUUCCAACCUUUUGGAGUCAGUUCGACCGAAAAAAAAGAAAAAUUAAAAAAAUUAUUUGGGGUUUUCAGGCUUCCUUGAGGUAAUACCCUAAUAUUAGGUUAAGGGGCUAUGGUAAGGUUUAAGGUUUUUGGCGAUAGAGUUAAACUAACUGUCCAAAACCUUUUUAGGAACAUGUUUCAGACCUUUUGGAGUUGGUUACACCAAAAAAAAUUGUAAAAUGAAAAAAAAAUAUUUGGGGUGUUCGGGCUUCCUGAAGGUAAUACCCGGGUAUUAGGUUUUGGGGCUAUGGUAAGGGUUCAGUUUUUUGGCAUUAGGGUUAAAAUUAUUGUCCAAAACCUUUGUAGGAACUCUUUUCCAACCUUUUGGAGUUAGACCAAAAAAAAAAGAAAAAUGAAAAAAAAAUAUUUGGGGUUUUCGGGCUUCCUGAAGGCAAUACCCGGGAAUCAGUUUCUGGGGCUUUGGGAAGGUUUAAGGUUUUUG